rnacentral:rRNA from 1 species
GACGAACGCUGGCGGCGUGCUUAACACAUGCAAGUCGAGCGGUAAGGCCCUUUCGGGGGUACACGAGCGGCGAACGGGUGAGUAACACGUGGGUGACCUGCCCUCAGCUCUGGGAUAAGCCCGGGAAACUGGGUCUAAUACUGGAUAUGACUCCACGGUGCAUGCCGUGGGGUGGAAAGCCUUGUGCGGCUGAGGAUGGGCCCGCGGCCUAUCAGCUUGUUGGUGGGGUGAUGGCCUACCAAGGCGACGACGGGUAGCCGGCCUGAGAGGGCGACCGGCCACACUGGGACUGAGACACGGCCCAGACUCCUACGGGAGGCAGCAGUGGGGAAUAUUGGACAAUGGGCGCAAGCCUGAUCCAGCCAUGCCGCGUGAGUGAUGAAGGCCU